AGUUGCAGAAGGCAGAAGUUAUAAUCAAGAUCAUCAGAACUGGCGUCUGGUGAGAUCUCUCUCCUUGGGUUGUAAGUGGCCACCUUCUCUGUGUCCUUCCGUGGACUUUCCUCUGUGCGUUUGUGGUGCUGAUGAACUCGGUGUAAUUAACCCUAAGGGUUUCUAUAGCAGUUUAGGAAAGAAGGCAGCUCCAUGGGCUGGAGACGACGUAAUGCUCUGGGAAGACCCCUGGGUGCGGGUAAGAGAGGAAUCCGAGCUGCACAAGGCCAAUGAGGGGAGGACGACCCGCCCGAUUUAGACAAAGGCAAGGUAAGAACUACAGAGGAAGAACCUACUGCAGACAUUUCCCAGGAGACUUUAAUUGAAGCAUCAGCAAAACUGAAAGGUAACGAGAGAAUCUUGUGCCUCUGAGGGUGUCUCUCCCAUGGAUCCCUGCUCAGUUGCCUUUCAGGGGCUCCCUAAUUUGCCUGAACUCCUGACCUCAGAUGAUCUGCCUGCCUUGGCCCUCCAAAUUGCUGGAAUUACAGGCAUGAGCCACUGUGCCUGGCCUGUUCCAUGCAUUAAAAAAAAAAAAAAAAAUCAGUGAGAACAAGAAA